CUGUCCCUAAUUUCAGGUUCCAAUGAUGGCAGGAUACGGUCAGCCUGGAAUGCAGCCAAUGAUGCAGCCUGGUAUGGCGCCCAUGGGAGGAAUGCAAAUGAUGGGAAUGGCCCCGAUGUCUGGAGGGGUCCCCAUGACCACGAUGCCACAAAUGAUGGGUAUGGGCCAGCCAAUGUACAUGGGUAUGCGACCUGGUAUGGCUCCUAUGGGAAUGCCCAUGGCUCAGCCCCGACCUCCCAUAACACAGACCCAGCCAAACGACCCAUUUGGCGCCUUGUGAGACCAGCCAUGCAUGAAUGUGUGAUCUGUGUGUGAUAUUUGAUGAAUAAUUCCAAUGGGAGCUCAGGAUGCAGCCAUCAUGCAGGCCAGGAGAGUGUUCAUUAUCAGAUCAACCCCCUCCAUACAACAUAAUCAUCGUCCUACUAUCAGCCAUGUGCACACAAAUGUUCACUAUACAACAUUGUACUUCAAUGUGCAUAGAAAUAUUCAACAUGCACGGUUAUUGGGAUGCAUAGAAAUCUGUAACAUACAAAAUCUUUAUUCCUCUAGCAUUGUGAGGUUGCAGGAUACAUUGUUGAUAUUGGAUGUGCGUAGAACUGCACAACCUACAACCUUUGUACUUUAUUACUGUUCAUAGAACUGCACAACACGCAUCAUCUCUGUUCGGUAGCACGCACAGAAAUAUACAGCAACUGUUGCCAAUCAUCAUCUCUGUUCGGUAGCACGCACAGAAAUAUACAGCAACUGUUGCCAAUCAUCAUCUCUGUCCGGUAGCACGCACAGAAAUAUACAGCAACUGUUGCCAAUCAUCAUUGUCGUUCGGUGUGCAAAAGAAACUCCAUGUCGCUAGAAGCUGUGGUUCCAAUAUUGUCAAUAUUUAUUAUUAUAGUGAUAUUAGUGUUCUGCACUUCCCAAUUUUAGUGUGUUGACUGUUAAAUCUGUACUUAAGUGUGUGAACUGUUGAAUCUGUCCUCUGUUAAUACAUAGGUAUGUAAACUGUCAACUCUAAACUGAAGUGUUUUAAGUUACAAUGUGUUAUAUUCUGUAGCUUUGUGGGUUAGAGUGUUAGUAUUAAUUCAGUUACGCACAUGUGAAACUUUUGACCUAAAAUUUAGAUGGGUAGUUUAGUAAAGGUCAGCAGGCGUUGCUGUAUAGCCAGACAUGGAAUCUCGUGUUUCCAUGUUUACCAGUGAAUUAAUUCAAUAAAUAUUUCCUUAACUUAGGAAUGAUUUGCUAUAUUUCAGAAAAACACAACCUACCUUGUUAUGAGGGCAUUUUAAGUGCUGUAAAGUUUUCAAAAUACUUACAUAUAAUAAUUACGAGUAUGUGAUAACAUGAUGGUUCGUUGUAUGAUGUGUGCAUUCCCUUUAUUUUAAAUGUGCCAUUUUGUUUCCAUGAAAUAUAAACAAGAAUUUGGUUGAAUGUGCGAUAAGUAAAUGAAAGUUAGUUUGUUCUAAUGUACAAAAUUCUGACAUUCCAUGGGUGAAUUUAGUUUCGUGAAAUAUUAUACUCCUGAUAAUCCUUUGAGCAUUUCAUUUUCAUAUCUUACUGGAAUUUGGUUAUAUACAAUGUAUUUAUCUUACUAAAUGUGUUUUGUUUUCCUAUUUUACAAGUAGAUGUUUGAGGUCAUAAUAUGGAAUCGUAAUAUUAUUGUGUUACAUUAAUUGACUUAUAGCAAAUACGUCACCUAUUUCAUAGUUACCCAUAGGGUUCUCUGACUUUUGAAGAUGAAAGGUAUAUUAUAAAAUAUGAAUGAAUUCAUUUUUGUGGUGGUUUGUGCAAUCAAAAAUGGCACUUUUUGUAUCCCGUCAUGUUCCUAUUGUGUUUGUUGUAGAGCUUGAAAAUAUUACUAGAAAUCUUACAAGCUCUUGCAUCCUGCCCUGUCCGUGUCCACCGCAUUGCUCUACACCUUCACAUGACAACAUUUUCAGUGUGCACAUUUCAUUUUAACCUCCCAUUUGACUUAGUGUUUUUGCUAACCAAUAAUAAAGUCAAGGGUACUGACAUCUUGUAAGACAAUACUUGACAAUUUUUGUUUUCAUCUUUUUAACUCGUAAACAUUAUCUCUCUACAAAAGUCUUGUUUUCACCCAUUUUGCAUGCAAACAUGGUCUGCUACUGUAUUUAUAUAUGGUCAUAUUAAGUGCUGUCAUAUUGUUAAAGGAAUCCCACCCACAAAUAUGUGAAUUUUAGGAUGCCGGGUGAUCACAUCUGAUAUUGGAACCAUUUGAAUGGAUUUUGCAUGCAAAAAAAAUACUUUGUUCGAAAAAUAAUACUGAAAAUGUAAUAAAAGGGUGGGUUUUUUUGGCCUUCAUAGAUUGCAAAUUAGGUUAUUUUAUGUCCAAGUUCAACUCAAAUGAAAUAAAGUGCAAAUAUUCCAACUGUUAUAGCUCAAUGUAUAAUGUAUUGUACAUUUGGUCAUUUUAGUGAUAACCAAGCAAACACAUUGUAAAUGGUUCUUAAAUAACCAGACAACAAAACUUAAUGUAAUGGUUUUAAGAGUUGUCAGAGAAUGAGCUUAUUUUUGGAUUGGAUACCUUAAAAGACUUCAGUGUUUUUGUCAGAUGUUCAUACAAUGUCCAUCUUUGUCUAUUUCUGUUUCAUUGUGUAUUUGUACAUAAGAGGUCUUUUUCUAUCAAUAUGUAGAUAUUAAGUUAUAUAUAUAUAUACACAGGUUUUUCCUAUUCAUUUAUUUUACUCGCAUGCUGUUAUAGACCUAUUGCUGUAGAGUUUUGCUGUGUCAUAUGUGCAUGUAACUGCUGGAUAAAGACAAUUUUAUCAUACAUUUGUCUAGACAAAGAUGUCAGUUAUUCUUGGAUGCACAACUCAACUGCAAGAAAUUGAAAGUAUGAAAAAAAAAAAGAAGAGUAAAAUGCAGAUUAAUGCUAUUUUUAAUUGUAAGUUUAUCUCAUGUUUGCAAAUGACAUUUGUAUAUACAAAUAACUUAUGCACUCUUGGCUUCACAUUUCCAUUUCUGAAAAGCCAGUCAAAUAUUAUAUAUGUGUAUGUAAAAUCAGAAUGUAUGAGACUGAGUUAUUCACUUUGCAUCUAGUGAAGUGCUUGUUGAUAACAAUUCAAGUUUUACAUAUCAAAGUAUGAUAAACUUUACAAUUAGUGUUAAACUUUAAUAUCAAAUCCUUAAAGUAACUCUAGGAUUCAGACUUGUUGAUCUAAAUGACUUUAUUCUUAAUUCACUGACAGCUUAGUGCUUACCAAUCAGGUCUUGUAUAGCAGCAUGUAUAUGUGACACAGCAAUACAGUUGUCAUGUGGUACCCUGUCUCUAUCGUAUAUAUGCUCUAGGCUUUUCAUUGCUGCAGUCUUCGUACUAUGUAACUGUUCAGAGGGGAGAACCAUACUAUGUCUUAGUUAAGCAUACCGGUAUAAUUUGUGGGGUUGAUGCCAGAAAGUUUAAAGCGACAUUAAAAUAUAUAUGGCUUUGGUAUAUUCUGGCAUUAGCCCUACACAGUAUAAUAAAGUAAUUUUCUUGAAAAAAAUAUCGAGCAGCAUCAAUGGACAAACAAAUGUUUGUGUGAAAUUUUGGAUUAUGGCAGAAAUCAUUGUCCUGUUAGAAUUAUUUAUUUUGCUGAAUUUAUUUUAAUUGAAAAGAAAUGAUUUUCAAAUUUUAGUCUGAUAUAACAUGCUCAUUCCAAUAAUACUGGUACUUCCAUACUUUUGUGAAAUCUUGAAGAAUGCUACGACUCCAUUUUUUCAUCUUCAGUAAAAGCUGGCUUUUUGUCAUUUUGGUGUUUCUCAUUUAUCAGGCUUUGGAAGUAAUCAUUUUGUAAUCACUACUUAUAUGCAAAAACUUAUUCUAUACAUUUGUCUUGUAAUCCCUUUAAACUAUUAAAGCUGUCUUAGCCUGGGGCUGGAUUACAGAAGCAUCUUGAGUUAAAAUUGUAACUUUUCCUUAAAUUCUAUUUGGGAAGUGAUUUAUUCCACAGGUACAAAGUGUUUUGCUUAAUGUUAAUUCUGUAAUUAAAAUAUUAAAGUUUUCAAAUUGGAAAUGUCAUUUUAAAGCAAUUGUUAAUUUCAAGAAAUAUGAAUGUUACUCUCAUUUUGUUUUUAAAUAUCCUCAAAAUGUUUCUGUUAUACAGCCUCUGUUGAGCCACAUACAGGGUCUUCCUUUGCCAUAGACUUUGUGAUUAUGUAGGAAGGACAUAGGACAGACAAAAUAGCUUAUAAAUAUUCUUUGAUAUUGAGUUGAUGUCAUUGCUUAAGGUCGAUGACUUUCGUUGAGAAAAUUUAAUAUUUUACUGAUUCAGUUGUUAUGAUUGUUAUUUAGCGCUAUAAUCAUGUCACAAAAUGUUGUGUACCAUAGAAAAUUAAAUAAAAUAUAUGUACAAUGGUA